rfam:Rhizobium sp. Pop5 Contig1084, whole genome shotgun sequence.
GUCGUUGCAAGGCGAGGUCUGAAGGAAGUUGUAAGCAAAGUGCCGGCCUGACGAACAGGAAACGCAUAUGAGGCGACCGCAUCCGGACGAAGGUGCACAAAUGCCUGAAGUCCAAUAUCACCCGGAGGAUGCGGCCGUAGAUGCGACAGGUAUAUGGCACGAAGGUCACGCGUC